CUGUAGUAUCAGUUGCAAUUUUAAUAAACACACUGUCUAAUGCUUUUUUCUAGAUCAUUAAUGAAGAUGGUAAAUAAAACUGGAGUUAACACCAGUUUCUAGUAAUAACCCUACUGGAUGCCUCCCCACAAGCUGACAGUUUUGUCGCUGAUCACUAUUCAUCACCCAGCCCGAACGUCAGUGUCCCCGUGUGAGAGAUCAGAGCACACCACUGCCGAGGGCAGUCAAAUACCCAGGACAUGGACUGUCUACUGUGAUGACUUUUGAGGGAGAACACGGCUUUGUGCAAAGACCCUUACACUGCAAGAACCUCUGUGCUCCCCAAAUGACUCCAACAAGGAUGAGCAUAUUGCCAUGGCAACCAAAAUACAGAAGCUGGGAAAGCACCAGAGACAGUGGAAGGGACACCCUCCAGCACCUCUGGGAGACUCUGCAGACCCUUCAUCACCAAGGCUUUGUCAGGAGGUUGGUAUGCCCUCAAAGGACUAAAAUCCAGGUUUGGGAUAUGGUUGGAGCAGCCCUGACCCUCCCCCUCCAGGACCAGCUGCUACUGCAUUUAUGCACAUCAGGAGAGAGGAAGUUAGUGGGGACACAUGGUGGAACUUCUGAAGGUGCU
ensembl:lncRNA